UCCUUUUCAGUUUUUCAUUUCCUCUCUGAGUCUCGCGCUUGGAGAUCUGAAGCUCACCAUCAAUGGCGUCUCCCCGGAUCCUCCCUUCUUCUCCGCUUCAGAAGCUCGCCACCUUCAAAGACCCCGCCCCGAUUCCUCCGAUCUCAUCGUCCUCCUCCUCCCCUCUCGACGCCUUCGCCUCCGAUCCCAUCUUCUCCGCCUUCCUCUCUCCGGAUUUUGACUCCGCUCGCUUCUCCUCCCAGGCUCUCAGCUCCGGAUCCGCGGCUGCUCGCGCCGAGUCUCUUCACGAAGCCAUCCGCCUCCUCCAGCGCCAUCUCCGAUCCGAGGUCCUUUCUCGCCACCCCGCCCUCCUCUCCUCCCUCUCCUCCCUUCGCUCCUCCUCCUCUUCGCUUUCCUCCCUCCGAGCCUCACUCCAGGCCCUCCACGCUUCCCUUCACCGUGCCCGCCUCGACCUCGCCUCCCCCCUUCGCCAGGCCCGCCACCAUGCCCUCCAGCUCUCCAACCUUCACUCUGCCGCCGACCUCCUCCACCACUCGGCCCGCCUCCUUCGCCUAUCCUCCCGCCUCCGAUCCCUCCUCUCCCUCCCCUCCGACCGCCGCGACCCGGCCAAGGCCGCCGAGCUGCACCACGAGAUCUGCCAGCUCUACGACGAGCGGGGCCUCGAAGGCAUCUCCGCCGUCGAGGCCGAGAUGAAGUGGCUCUUGGAGACCGGUGAUCAACUCCGCUCCGAGGCCAUGAGAGCUGUUGAGAAGGGGAUGGAUGAAGGCAACCAGAACGAUAUCUGGUGCGGGCUCCAGGUAUUCUUCAACCUCGGUGAGCUAGGUCCUACGGUGGAUGCCCUGUUGAACAAGUACAAAGGAAUUGGGGUGAAGAGUGUUGGUGCGGCGCUUGAUAUGAAAGCUAUAUCUGCAGCAUCAUCAGCUGGGAUUGGGGGCCCGGGUGGCAUUCAGAGGAGCGGAACGCCACAGAUAGGCGGCCGGAGGAGGGCCGGAGAGGCACUUUGGGAGAGGAUGGGAAGGUGCAUGGAUGAGUUGCACAAGGUUGUCACUGCAGUUUGGCAGCUUCAGACUGUUCUAUCAAAGAAGAGGGUGCCAUUCACGCAGGUCUUGUUCCUUCAUGAAGUCUGGCAGGAAGGUGAUCCACUGCUCACUGAUCGCGUCUGGGAGGCACUUGUGAAAUCUUUUGCUAGCCAAAUGAAAGCCGCCUUCACUACGUCAAGCUUUGUUAAGGAGAUUUUUACUCAUGGAUACCCGAAGCUCUUCUCUACGGUAGAGAAUCUUCUUGAAAGGAUUUCACGUGAUACUGAAGUAAAAGGGGUUCUUCCGGCCCUGACCCCUGAAGGGAAAGAUCAAUUGGUUAUGGCCAUUGAUAUGUUUCAGACAGCCUUUCUGGGAGCCUGCUUAAGUCGUCUAUCAGAUUAUGUUAAUUCCAUAUUUACUGUCUCUGGCAGGGGAAGUAUCCCUUCUAAAGAUCAGAUUUCAAGAGUUAUAUUGCGCAUACAGGAGGAAAUCGAGGCUGUUAAACUGCAUGGGCAUUUGAUGCUUCUCGUCUUACGUGAAAUUGGCAAAGUCUUGAUUUUGCUAGCUGAAAGAGCUGAAUACCAGAUAUCCACUGGUCCUGAAGCUCGUCAAGUCACAGGUCCUGCUACUCCAUCUCAACUUAAGAACUUUGCGCUGUGCCAACACCUUCAAGAAAUUCAUGCACGCAUAUCUAGUGCAAUUAUAUCUCUACCACCAGUAGCAGCUGAAAUCCUAUCUCCUUCUCUUGGUGUCAUCUAUGGAGUUGCCUGUGACUCGGUGACUUCCCUUUUCCAAGCUAUGCUUGAUCGCCUUGAGGCUUGUAUUUUACAAAUCCAUGACCAGGACUUUGGAACCCAUGGAAUGGAUUCUGCAGUUGACAAUAAUGCAUCUGUUUACAUGGAGGAGUUUCAAAAAUUUACAGUUCACUUCAGAACUGAAUUCCUGUCUAAGCUUUUGCCCUCAUCUGCUUCUCGGUCAGAGACCAUAUGCACAAGACUAGUUCAGAGAAUGGCUUCUCGGGUCUUGAUUUUCUUCAUUCGGCAUGCCUCUCUUGUUAGGCCACUUUCAGAGUCUGGCAAGCUGAGGAUGGCAAGGGACAUGGCUGAGUUGGAGCUUGCUGUUGGCCAGAAUUUAUUUCCUGUUGAGCAGCUUGGUGCACCAUACCGAGCACUUCGUGCUUUCCGACCUGUUAUAUUCUUGGAAACAUCUCAACUUGGAGGAUCUCCACUCAUUCAAGAUCUGCCACCAAGUGUGAUUCUUCACCACCUUUAUUCUCGGGGUCCUGAUGAGUUGCAAUCACCACUUCAAAGGAACAAGCUCACACCUCUUCAGUAUUCCUUGUGGCUUGACUCACAAGGCGAGGAUCAGAUCUGGAAAGGAAUUAAAGCUACUCUUGAUGACUAUGUGAUGCAAGUUAGGACUAGAGGAGAUAAGGAGUACAGUGCGGUGUAUCCUCUCAUGCUUCAGAUCGGAUCAUCACUGUCUGAUACAAGUUCAUCUCAAUAAUCUUAUGCUGUGCCAACUUUUGAUUCACCAAGGAAUUUGCAUUGUUCUCAAUGGAUUUCUUGUCUUACCAGUGGAAGUUUUGCUAAGUGGCGUUUACCAUCAGAAGCAAACUGUGAAAUUCCAUUCCUUCUUUGCAAAAAAGAUGCACAUGUUACAUUCAACCAUGAAUAAUAUGGCAGCAUACUAUAUUUGCGGUAACUUUUGUUCUUAAUUACACCUGCUAUAAUAGCCUUGAUGAUUUCCAUAGCACAAAUCAACCAUGAGGAGGAUUGGGAUCAAGGAGGAAUGAGUUAUUAUUCAGCUUAUUUGUGGUUCUUGUUUCGAUAAUAAACUAGUAUUUCCCUGGUAGUGAUGCCUUAUUCCAGAAUAAGCUUAAGGCAGUGUUUGGCAACCAUUUAUUUAAUCCCAGAGUACUGUAAAUUUUGGGAUUCUAUUCAAAAUUAUUCUCAAGUUAUUUCAUUGUACAUUUAUUUCAAUUUGGUGUUAGAGAUGUAAGAAGGUGUCACUUACUCUACUUGUCAACUGUAAGAUUUUGGUUAGAUAAAUGAAACCAUGAAACAACGUUUUACAGUGUAUUAAUCCAAACAUUCUUUAACUUCAAAUUGUUA